UACGUAGGGUCCGAGCGUUGUCCGGAAUUACUGGGCGUAAAGAGCUCGUAGGUGGUUUGUCGCGUUGUUCGUGAAAACUCACAGCUCAACUGUGGGCGUGCGGGCGAUACGGGCAGACUAGAGUACUGCAGGGGAGACUGGAAUUCCUGGUGUAGCGGUGGAAUGCGCAGAUAUCAGGAGGAACACCGGUGGCGAGGGCGGGUCUCUGGGCAGUAACUGACGCUGAGGAGCGAAAGCGUGGGGAGCGAACAGG
rnacentral:rRNA from 1 species